rnacentral:rRNA from 1 species
CCUACGGAAGGCUGCAGUGGGGAAUAUUGGACAAUGGGCGAAAGCCUGAUCCAGCCAUGCCGCGUGUGUGAAGAAGGCCUUCGGGUUGUAAAGCACUUUCAGUGGGGAAGAAAGCCUUGGGGCUAAUACCCUCGAGGAAGGACAUCACCCACAGAAGAAGCACCGGCUAACUCCGUGCCAGCAGCCGCGGUAAUACGGAGGGUGCGAGCGUUAAUCGGAAUUACUGGGCGUAAAGCGCGCGUAGGCGGUCUGAUAAGCCGGUUGUGAAAGCCCCGGGCUCAACCUGGGAACGGCAUCCGGAACUGUCAGGCUAGAGUGCAGGAGAGGAAGGUAGAAUUCCCGGUGUAGCGGUGAAAUGCGUAGAGAUCGGGAGGAAUACCAGUGGCGAAGGCGGCCUUCUGGACUGACACUGACGCUGAGGUGCGAAAGCGUGGGUAGCAAACAGGAUUAGAUACCCUAGUAGUC